AAGCGCACGAGCGUUUCUGGCCCGGGCAGCCGCUCUCCUGUCAAGUUGAUGCGGCGGCGUUUCCCGGGAAGAGCGGGGUGGUGGAGCCCAGCCGACGUCCGGACCGGCUUUCGGUCCACACGACAGUGGCAGUCAUCCUGCACUCGCGCGGUCUCAGGCGAAGGGAGUCAGGUCCGCACCCGUCCGUUGUUCCCGUGCGAUUGAGCAGGCAAAGCGGCCUCUGACCGACCGCGAGUGGCGUGAGUCUGCGCUGUUCCCCUGGGUUAGACAGAGACCAGAGACGACACCAAUUCUCAAAGAGAAAAAAAAAAAUCCAGUCCCAGAAUUACCGCCUCUUCCUGACAAACAACUUUCAAAAGACCUCACUUCCUUAAACGUAUCCGCAAAUCAAUUGACUACACACCCGCAUCCUACCGUCCUUUCCAACAGCGCCUUACCUGUGUUUUACGUGUUGUGUAGACUCCCUUGGUCCAGCAGGCAACAAAUCAUUGCUCCGCUGCAAAUCUGUUCCGGUUAUUCUCUGGCUGUGAUAGGUGGAUCUGCCCAGCAGGCCUCCAGGCCACUCUUUGAAGUCUUCACUGCUCUCAGAAAGCCCUCCUCCAAGACCGCUGCAGGAUUUUGAAAUAACAGAACUUUGUCUCCUGUCCUCACCUCUCACCCACUUCUCAGCCCACCCCAACUUGGCAUCACACAUUGGUCUCUAGAGCAGCUCUCACUAAGCUUGCUGGUGACUUCCCACUCCUGCAAAUAGACAUCAUUCUAUGUGAAAUCUGGCAGUGUUUGCCACUCGGCCUGUCUUUCCCUUGUAAGUGUGGAUGUCUCUCCAGGUUUUAACUCCUAUUCACUACCCCAUCCACACCUCAUUUACAGCUCAACUUCUGUCUGGCUGUUAUUUAAUGGAAUUAUCUUCUUUGGUGGAGGCAACUUGCUAGGUAGACCGGACUGGUCUCGAACUCACAACGCCUCUACCUCCCCAGUGCUAGGAUUAUAGGUGUGUCACCACUCCUGGCAGUUUGAGUUCUGACUUGAUCUUAAGUUCUCUUCUCCUUCCUUUCAUAAUCUCAUCCACAUCAGGCUUGGAUUACUACUCCUUUGGGCAUUACUUAUUAAUUUUCCUAUCGUCUCUAGAUCUCUGGGCUCCGUAAGUCCCUAGAAUAGUUUAUGGGUAAUAAGAGCACCUCAAGUCCCUGACAAAUUCCAUUUUCUCUACUGCAUGUCCUUCCUUUAGUUCUGCUUGGGCAAAAGGAAGUCAUGGCAAUGGGAGUAUGUGGCAGGGGAGGUUCUUCACUUCAUGGUGAACAGCAGCAUGGAACAGCAGCAGGAAAGGAGCAGGGAAAGAUAGAAUCCCAAAGAAGCCCUCAGUGACUUACGUCUUCUAGUUUCCACUUUCCACCUCCCCAUCCCCUGCUAACAGUCUAUCAAAAUGCCAAAGCUACUAAUGGGCUAAAGCAUUCAUUAGGUCAGAGCAUCAUGAUCUGUUUCAGAACAAGAUGUGUUUUACUAAUUUUGUGAACAUCUCUUAAUCCAGUCAAGUUGAUCACCAAUGUCAAUCGUCACACUGUCCAUGUGCAGACAUUUGUGUGGACUUAUGUUUUCUGCUUCUUUGACCAGACAACCAGAGUGCAUCUGUUGGAUUAUAUAGUGAAAGUAUAUCUAGUUUCAGAAGAAAUUACCAGUGUGUUCCAACAUGGCUGCUGCAUUUUACAUUCCCACCACCAGGGAAGGAGAGUGCCUGCUCUCUUUAUCUGUGCCAGCAUCUGUUCUCAGUAUUCUGGAUUUGAACAUUCUAACAGUGGUGUGGUUAGUAAACUUUGAAGUCAAAUUACAAAAAAAAAAGUGCAUGAAUUAUAAAGCUGAGUGACUUUCACAAGCAGGCACAGUUGUAUAACAAAGAUCCACAAAAAAAAAAAAAAAAUGCAGAGCACUUUGCACAUUAUAGAAGCCAUUUCAGUCAUGACCUCAGGAGAUGAUCAUGGAUAGCACUCUGCCGUGGAAUUUGCCUGCUUAAACUGCAUGGGUGGAAUAAUACAAGACAGAAAACACAGAAUGACUUCCAAUGUCUUUUUUGAAAAAAAUUUUAUUACGUGUACAGUAUUCUGUCUGCAUGUAUCCCUGCAGACCAGAAGAGGGCACCAGAUCUCAUUACAGAUGGUUGUGAGCCACCAUGUGGUCGCUGGGAAUUGAACUCAGGACCUCUGGAAGAGCAGUCAGUGCUUAUAACCUCUGAGCCAUCUCUCCAGCCCUCUUUCAAUGUCAUCUUUGUGACUUUCCUCCACAUUGUUAAGACUGUAGUCUACUCAUUUAGAUAUGCCUCUCCUUGUCUAACUCUCCUAGUGAACACAUAGGUUUGGGCUUGUUUAGAGCUGUUGCCCACAAUGCUGUGAACAUUCCUAUCUAUCUGAUGAGCACAGAUUUUCAUUUCUAUAGGAAAAUGCUCAGAGAUUGGAUCAUUGGGUCAAAAGCUAUCUUUAUUAUAUUGAGCUAUAUUAACUCAAUACUCUUAGUUGACUUUUGUUUUGUUGAGAUCAAGUCCUGCUGUGUGACCCAGGUGGAAAUUUACCACGCAGACCAGGGUGGCCUGAAAGGUGGAGUGAUUCUCCUGCCUCAGUCUUCCAAGUGCUGGGAUUAUAAAUGUGCCACCAUCUCCACUGGUAAACUGUGAUCAAAUACACAUCGUAGGUUACAAGUUUAGCUGGGCAGUGGUGGCGCAUGCCUUUAAUCCCAGAACUGGGAGGCAGAGGCAGGCAGAUCUGUGUUUGAGGCCAGCCUGGUUACAAAGCGAGUUCUAGGGUGGCCAGAGCUAAACAGAAAAAUCUUGACACUGUGCCCCCCAAAAGGUUACAAGUUCAGUCACAUUGAAGUAAGCAAUCAUGCCAAGCACAUUCAUGUCUCAAGCCACCACUGUAGGAACACAGUCCAAGAAUGGAAUCCUGUGGGAAUUUGGAGUGCUCAGUUUUUUCAAAACACAGACUUCUUGGAAUGUGUUUUUGUGCUCCUGCCAGGUGUGGUGGAUAGAAAUGAGGUUCAGAAUACUCAUUGCUUGCACCUGUUAUUCAAUUAAAUGCUUUAUAGGCCUCUAUGGAAAACCACAUUUUUGUCAAGUGCAGCUUGUGAUUGUACACUUUACCCAUGUGAUUCUUCAUCAGAAUAAAUUGAUGCUAUGCAUAAAAUUA